rnacentral:rRNA from 1 species
AUAGGUGGGAGGCUUUGAAGUGUGGACGCCAGUCUGCAUGGAGCCAUCCUUGAAAUACCACCCUUUAAUGGCUGGUGUUCUAACGUGGACCCGUAAUCCGGGUUGCGGACAGUGUCUGGUGGGUAGUUUGACUGGGGCGGUCUCCUCCUAAAGAGUAACGGAGGAGCACGAAGGUUAGCUAAUCCUGGUCGGACAUCAGGAGGUUAGUGCAAAGGCAUAAGCUAGCUUGACUGCGAGAGUGACGGCUCGAGCAGGUGCGAAAGCAGGUCUUAGUGAUCCGGUGGUUCUGAAUGGAAGGGCCAUCGCUCAACGGAUAAAAGGUACUCCGGGGAUAACAGGCUGAUACCGCCCAAGAGUUCAUAUCGACGGCGGUGUUUGGCACCUCGAUGUCGGCUCAUCACAUCCUGGGGCUGAAGUAGGUCCCAAGGGUAUGGCUGUUCGCCAUUUAAAGUGGUACGCGAGCUGGGUUUAGAACGUCGUGAGACAGUUCGGUCCCUAUCUGCCGUGGGCGCUGGAGAAUUGAGGGGGGCUGCUCCUAGUACGAGAGGACCGGAGUGGACGCAUCACUGGUGUUCGGGUUGUCAUGCCAAUGGCAUUGCCCGGUAGCUAAAUGCGGAAGAGAUAAGUGCUGAAAGCAUCUAAGCACGAAACUUGCCCCG